CCUGCUACUAACAGAUCAGUUGCAAUACCCGACAGCGCUAUCGGAAACAUAACGGCUGGUUUUUCCACUGGUGCAAGUCGAUCAGUUGCAUUAGAGUACAGUACCCUCGGAAACGCCACGGCUGCUGCAAUUCGUCUAGAUGACGAUGAUCAAGAAAUGAGAGAUGACGAUCGAGAAAUGACAGAUGAUGAACAAGAAAUGAAGGAAAAACCUCUUGAAUGAUGGAAGAUAUAAAGCAGUAUUAGAAAAAGUGAAUGUUUCAAGUGCUCUUAUUUUGGUAUUCUGCAUUCUUAUUUUGAACAAAACUUGACAUUCCAAUCAGCCUACUUGUUACCAUCCAGCUCCUGUUAAAGAAACGUUAGAUAAACUUACGUUCGUGGUGCAUAAUCGAUAUUGUCUAACUGUGUUUGCAAUAAGAGAGAAAUAUGGGCUUGUCUUUAAUCAAAAGUUGAAACGUUUUGAUUAGAUAUGUUGCAUUUUAUAUCCAAUUUUCAACUGAUAUGUAUGAAGGAUUUAUAUCAAACACAUUGUUAACGCUUAAGGAAACAUUUUAGACACUUUAUUAUAAAAGAAUGUAUAACACCUCUCCCGUUACAGAGAAAUGCUGAUGUUUUCAUAGUGAUUUUAUUUUAUCUGAGCUUAUUUUGAUUUUCCUUUUUGAAUGGUCAUUUACGACAUAUUCUUUAAAAGCACUAGGAACAAAUAUCUAUUUUCCCAAAGCUAGAAUUCUAGCAAACAUUAAAAUAACUUUGAAUCAUGAUAUCACUUAUUGUCACAUACAUCCUUAAGGUAAUAAAAAGAUCAUUUAUUCAUAAAUUUCUAUCACGUUCAUAACAAGUGUUGAAAAAAUGAUUGAGAAUUAAUUCAUUUCUUUUUUAUGUUUACAACUUAAGAAUCACUUAAAGACACGAAAAAUGCCAUUUUCAAAAACUAUAACUCUUGACUUAUCUUAAAAUUUAGGCUUUUUUUUUUGUUUUUACUCAGUCUUCACAUGAAUUUAAUUCAAGUAUUUAAAAAAAGAAAAAUUACAGUAACAAUUCUUUCUUCAAUAACUUAAAAUUUACAUAAGCAUAGAUCAAUAAGAAACUCAUUUAUAUUUAAUGUAAAUUUCAUUUUAGAUUUGCAUUACCUUCAUUGAACUUAGUCAAAACAAAAAUAUGAUCAACAUUAUAUUGAAAACAAGUCAACAUACUUUAGAUGGCAAAAGUGUCCAAAGUUUUGUAUUUGCUUUUACUUUAUAUAGAAAAACAGUUUAUAAAUCUUAAUACUUUUUCCUAAUCGAUAUUGUCUAACUGUGUUUGCAAUAAGAGAGAAAUAUGGGCUUGUCUUUAAUCAAAAGUUGAAACGUCUUUAUUACAUACGUUGCACUUUAUACGCACUUUUCAAAUGAUAUAUGAAGGAUUUACAUCAAACACUAUUUUGUAUCUUUUUUUUAAUAUGUUUUCUAAAUAUGAUAGAAAAAAGAAAGAUAAUCCUUUGCAGAUUUUAACAAUUUUAACAUAUAAAGUUUUAUAAUCGGUAUAUGCUACCUUAAAACGGAAUGUCAUUCAUUAUCGCUAGCAAAUAUAUUCGCACAAUUUAUUUACUACUUGUUUUAUUAACUUGUUAUUGGAUAGUGGAAUAUAGAUGAUAACGCAAUAUACAUGUGUGCUGAUUGUAAAUAGAUAUUAAUAUGCAAACUGUCGAUACUAUUUAUAUUGAAAAAUACAACGAAAAAUGGCAAGUUGUUGCAUCAGUGUUAAACGCUUAAAAUAGUGACUGGCCCAUAUCGUUUACCACUAAUCUAAAAUAAAUGGUUUCUAGUUCAAAGAAGGUAUUUCGUAAUAAAAGUAGAUAAAUAUCAUUAAUAAGUAGUAAUCCAGUGGCGGAUUUUUUAUGAUUGCAACUUAAACGUUAGCUGGUAAAGCUUUAAAAGCUAUUGGAUCAUUAUUCUCCAUAACAAAAGAUUUUGAAGUUCCUGUAAAUAUUAUGUUGGCUUUACUUGAUCAUAUGUUGCAUCUAUAUUUAAUUAUUCUUGUGACUUAUGGAGUUUUGAUAGAGCUUAAAACAUCGAACGAAUACGCAGAAAAUUAAUGAGAUGAAUACUAAAUGUUAAAAUUCUGUGUUAUAUAAGGACUUUGGUAGAUACCCACUAUAUAUAGUAAUACCGGUUUGAAUUAUCAAUAUUUUAAAAGUUACAUGUAUUUGAUGAAAAGAAUUGUUUCCGUCUUCCAUUUUCGUUGUAAACUUAUAGAUACGUAUAAACAUUACUGUUGAAAAGAUAUUUGUUCAAUAUCUUUCUUUUAUAUAGAAAUUUAAUACAAGAUUUCAAAUGUCAGAAUAUAUUAGCAAAAUGAAAUAUUCUAGCUAAAUUAGAUUUAUCUUCGCACCAGCUUUUUAUUGAAACUUGUAGAAAUAGAAACGGCAGAUAAUGUAUAUUUUGUCAAUGUAGUGGCAUUGAAAAUGAAUAUUUUUGGUGUUAUCUCCAAAUUCAUGCUUUAUUUAGAGAGCAUAGUAUAUUCCUAGAUAUUACAAAAGACCAGUAAACUCAAACUGACUCAAUUGUUUAGUGUUAUAAAUGCGUUGAAUGAAUUGCCUUUGUUUUGUAAAAAGCCACUAAAUUAGGAUCAGAUCAAUUCAUUUCUAUGCAAUAGAUGAUAUAAUGUUUUGUUGGUUUUAUUUACGUUUCUGUGUAUAUGUAUGAUUUUGUUGAAUGUAACGAUGGACUGUAAAUAAACAAGGUUAGAUAUUAAUAAAAUAUUCGUCCUAUUCUGUUUAACUUUAUAUUUACCUGUGCAAUGAAAAAGUUAUAAAGUACAAUUUCCUAUUUGAUUACAAUAGAUAAUAUCUAUUUAAUAAGAAAAUAUAAUUAUCUUUAAAGGACUUCUAGAUAUUUUAGAUGUCGAUUGUCAAAUUGUUAAAAUGUUGGAUGAUAACGCAGUAUACAUGUGUGCUGAACUGUAAAUGGAUAAUAAUAUGAAAACUGUCGAUACUAUUUAUAUUGAAACAACGAAAAUGGUAAGUUGUUGCAUCAGUGUUAAAUGCUUUUUAAAAUAGUGACUGUGACCAUAUGUUUACCAUUAAUCUAAAGUAAAUGGUCUCUAUUUUAAAGAAAAUAUUUCUUAAUCAAAGUAGAUAAAUGUGUUCAUGGAAAUGGUACUUAUUAAAUCAAGGUGCUCCUUCGUCACUGCGUUUCUGCAAUGUUGUGUUAUUGUGUACUUAGUGUUGUACACAGUCGGUUGUGAUGUGAUCAUGUUUUAGAUACAUUUACAUUUUUGCAAUAAAUUUUUAUACUUAAAAUCAUACGUUUAUUGUUAGCUGAUUAAUUUGACUUAAAAACAACAACAAAAUAUUAAAGGAUAUGUUAUGUUUUUGUUCAUACAAUUACUUGUGUUCUUAUCUAAUGGAAUAAGGGCAUCAUUAUUAGUUAUAAUUAUAUAUAUCAAUAUCAUUCAGAAUAUGAACAGGAUGCAGGAUUAAAGAUGCAACUAGGAAUUUAUGUUUUCUCUUUAUAUCGUAACUAUGUUUGUCAUAUUUUGUUUUUGAUGAAAAGCAUUCUUUUCAGUUUCAAAAAGAUUGACUUUAAUGUUGUUUUCUUCAAAUAUGGAUGAUAAAUGCAUAACAUCGAGCUAGUUCUUAGUUACUACAUCUAUUUACGUUUACAAUGUCUAUGUUAUUGUAUAAAAAGUCUAUGUUAUCAUAUAAAAUAAAGAAAACUAAACUUC
rnacentral:lncRNA from 1 species